rnacentral:rRNA from 1 species
UACGUAGGGUGCAAGCGUUAAUCGGAAUCACUGGGCGUAAAGGGCGCGUAGGCGGCUGGGGAAGUCGGCGGUGAAAGCCCGGAGCUCAACUCCGGGUCGGCCGUCGAGACUCCUCGGCUCGAGCUCACUAGAGGCAGAUGGAAUCCGGGUGUAGCGGUGGAAUGCGUAGAGAUCCGGAAGAACACCGGUGGCGAAGGCGGUCUGCUGGGGUGAGGCUGACGCUGAGGCGCGACAGCGUGGGGAGCAAACAGG